UCCAUGUUAUACUGCGUGCAAAAUGGCUGUGGCAGGCGCUUAAUUGGAGGAGGGGGGCAGUGAUUUCGGUGGAAGGUGUCGCUCCGUCCGUCGGGGCAUUUGGGACGGGAAAGGAGGAGGAUGGUGUGGGUGGGCUGUGGAUUGCCUGAUGUGACGUCCGGAUAAUUAAGCUACGGUGAUCCCCGCUAAUGAUGCCACGUCACCUCGGUUACUGUGGAUAAACUCGCAUUAGUUCGAAACCUAGUUCGAAUUUCAAAUUCAAAACAAAGACAAACAAUAAAAGUUUUCAAACAUUAAAACUAAAAUGUUCGGAGUGUGCCAAUUAAUGCUUAGGUAUUUAUGAUGAAGAAACCACGCUUUUACAGAAUGCCUAAAUACUUUAAAAUGAAUUAAAACAGAAAAGAAAUAAGAUAAGAAAAAGAAAAACAAAAACAGAAAAAGAAAACUAACAAAAAAGAAAAGGAGCCCCCAUCCCACUGGGCCAACCAGCCCAGCUGGGCACCAGGCCGACUAGGCCGGCCCACCCCCCUCCUAUACACCCCCUGCCCAAACCCUAACCGACACCCCGCACCCCCACUCCCCUCACUCGCUCGCCUCUCCCUCUUCCCUCUCCUCUCGAUCCCAUCUGGACCAGGGAGGGGCCCAACCACGACGCGCCGACCGCGCUGCCUGUCCUCCCCGCGACCCGACGUCGCCAUCGCACACCGUCGCCGCCUCGUCCCGCCUGGACCCCCGCCGUUCGUCAGACUCCCUCGCCGGAUCUCGACCUCGCCGUCGCCCGAAGCCGACUCGCCGGACCUACUCCUCUCCAUCAACGCCGUCGUCCCCGUCUCCCUCCCCGAGCCCCGCUGCCUUGACCCCACGACCGUCGGUGAGGCCCCCGGCCACUUCUCUCCUCCUCCCCCCGCGCACGCGCUGACCGCGCCCGCCUGCCGUCGUCCAUGGCCGCCGUGGCCACUGCUGCUUCACCACACCCACGCCCGCUCCCUCCUAUCCACACGCGUGCACUCACCCGCUCGCCCAGCUCGGCUUGCUGCCGCUGCUGCUUCUACCUGCUGCCGCCACAGCUGUGCUACCCGCUAGCACUGCUGCUUGCCUCGCCGCGGCUCCGCACCCUGCGUCGACACGCCCGCCGCGACGCCCUGCCCCCUCGUGCCAGCCCCCGCCUCGGCUUCCCGCGCCGUCGCCCCGUUUCCGCCCCGCGGUGGCCCUGCCGUUGUUCCACGGCCCCGUGCCGUCCCGGCGCCCGCCACCAAAGCUGCGCCCUCCCUGGGCGGGCUCCCCCGUCGCCGGCAACCUCGCCCCGCACCGGGCGGGUUGCGCCCCUGCGCCCACGCACCCGUGCCCGUUAAGGCCUUUUCGCCCAUUGACAGCCGGGCCCCGCCCUAGUACCAGAACGUUUUAAAAAAGAAUUAAAAUAAUAAUAAAAUAAAAAUAUUAAUUAAUUAAUUAAGUAUUUAGUUAACCUAAUUAAUUCUGUUUAGAUUAACCUAAUCACUAGUUAAACUAAUUAAACCUGUUUAGUUAGUCUUAGUCAAUGAUAGUGGGACCCACAUGUCAGUUUGACUAGGUCAACUAACUAGUUGACUGCUGACAUCACCCUGACAUCAUGCUGACAUCAUAAAUACAUUUUCUAAUUAAAUUAAUUCUGUUAAUUCUAAAAAGAAUUAAAUCUUUAAAAUUUAAUAUAAAAUAAUCCGUAACUCGGCUGAAAAUACUUUGUACAUGAAAGUUGCUCAGAACGAUGAGACGAAUCCAAAUACGUAGUCCGUUUGUCAGCCACACAUCCCUAGCAUAGCAAACAUGGAACUUCCCCCCUCCGGUCCGUCUGUCUGAAAACGCGAAACACCGGGAAUACUUUCCCGGAUGUUUUCCCCCUUUUCCGGUAUCACCUAGCACUGCGUUAGGGAACUCCUAGCACCGCGCAUUAUCAUGUCAUGCAUCGUCAUGCUUAUGUUUGCAUUAUAUUUAUUGUUUCUUCCCCCUCUUCUCUCUGGUAGACUACGAGACUGACGCCACUGCUGCUGCCCCGAUCGACUACAUCGUUGACGACCCCUCCUUGCCAGAGCAACCAGGCAAGCCCCCCUUGAUCACCAGACUGGUGCAUCAGAAGAUUUCGAAGAUACUCUCCGAUAUUCUCUUGAGACUUUGUGCCACCGCUUUUGCUAUUCCCGACCACCGAUAAACCCUUAUGGAUAACUACUUACACUGGUCGUCCAUACCUUUGUUCCCAGCUGACCUUGUUAUUACUUGAUACCCUGAAAAAUUCUCCGAUAUUUCGAGGAUCCUUUGUGCCCACCGCUUUGCAGCUCUUUUCCGUAUUAAUACCCCUAUGGAUAAUUCCUCGCACAUACCAAGUAUCCGCUCAUCCCCAGUUGUUUAUGUGUUUCACUAAGUUCUUUGAAAUAACAUUCGAUCUUCCGAAAAUCCUUAGCAGCUUAUUGCUCUUGAAAUUCUUUCUUGCUUGCAUUAUGGUUAAUCCCAUUAGUAUAGUAAUCUUAUUGGUAGCCUUUGUCACUAUCAUUUUGAGUCCAUUGAUUCAAUAUGUUACGAAUGCUCGCAAUCCUCAAUCAGAUCCUAGAAUUCGUCCUUUCGACUCAGACGUCAUUUUAAACAUAAGCUACCAAUCAAAUUGUUGUCGAUUUUACCCCUAAGCUUACUCAAUUAUCCAUCCUUAAUCAGAGCGUUUGCUUCUGAUCCUUUGAUCUGGAAAUAUUCCUUUACAUGUGAGCUUUGAAUUAGUCAGUUGCUUCUAUAAUCCAAUGCCUUCGCAUUGUUUCUUCCUCUGGUUGUGUGCCGAUACUCACAUCAGCUUCACUAUGGACCGUCGGAUCCAUUGUUGAAAUAUCAUCCGACAGUGUCCUCCGUAUACAAAACCUCGAGAAGUUAUUUCCCUGAUACAUAAUGCCUUCGGUAAAUUGUAUCCUCUCCUUUUGUCACCCAUGCUCUACUAUCGAGCUUGUGUUAUUUACUAUUGAAGCUUGUGGUAUAUGUUCCCAAGAUGCCCCUAAGGGUUGAACCUAUGCAUUACCAGAUCCGGGUAAACCCGAGAGCUAUCACGAGUCACACUCUUCUGGUGUUUUGCUAGAUAAAAUUUAAACAUUACAACUUCUUCGAAAAAUGAGAAGUGAAUGAAAGGUUAUGCAUUGGAGAAGUGGGAGUCGACCUUGAACUUUGUGUUCAUGCCCAUGGACACGAUGUAGAUCCUAUCAUAGAAGCUUCUUGUAAUAAUAACUAUUUCCUUGUUAUGAUAUCAUCUGGUAUUUGUGUAUUGAUCCUUUACAAUCGUAGUUCCAACUGCAUUUUCUCCUUGAUUCCAUUUCUCAGACAAGUUAAAGCACUUGUCUUCUGUUGAUUGAUACAUCUCCGCAACCUCUAUUUUGAUCUUCCUCGAGGAUUACCCUCUGGUAUCUCGAGAACUGUGUUGCUUCCCGCGCGUCUUCAUAUAGUAUUGCUUCUCACCGAUCUCAGAUUUCCCCCAGGUUCUGAGUUAUUAGUCACUUGAGAACACCGACAAGUGAAUCGAUUCCGCACUCCGAUUUAAUAAAUCUAAGUAAUUUUCGUUGCUUACGAGUUUAAUAAUCCUUCAAGUCGUUCCUAGCCUUAUCGUCUAUAUCAUUAUCGUGCAAAUUUUUAACUAUGCUACCCGGUCCUUCUUCCCGGAGCAUAAUUGUCGGCGAUGAGCUAAGCUUACGUCGAUCUUCCUUGUCUUACCAUUUCGCCCCGAAUAGCAAGCUUGAUUCCUAGUUGGUGUCGUAUCCGUGGUUCCAAUAAUCUUUCUCUGCAUUAGUCGUGUUGCUUGAUGUAGCUGCUGUUCAAAUGCUUCUUCGUGGAGCCUCUCAACAAAAUUUCACCACCUUGGAGUAUUACCAUAUUUUAUGUCAAGAAUGUCGUGAGAAUUUCACCACCUCUUAAGAAUUCUUGAUACAUGUGAUACUUCUUUCCAUAUCCGUUCAUUCCUUCGUCCUCGUGUUGUUUCUAACCGGAAAACCGACAAUUGAACUAUGUUAUGCGACUUCAAAACUUCUAGCAACCCUAUUGCUUUGAAGUUAAUGGUCGACAUUUCAUUCUUAGACCAUUGGUUAUCGAAUCACCAUUCUAACUUUGAUCAUGCUACCUAAGCCCAUAUUUCGGGUGCACCUUCCGACCAAUGUUUAACUGUGUAUGUUUUCCUCGAGCAUACCUCAUUAUAUCAUUUGAUCUGACAAAUGUUAUCUACUUGUUCACAUCAGUGUGGACAUCCAUCUUUUGAAAAUCUCAAUGAUUUGUCGCUGAGUCAAUCAACCACCUCCUCACCUCUCGUUGAUUUAAUGAUGAACUCUUGUUUCGGAACUCGCUUCCAUAGUUCAAUUCCCAAGAAUCUUAUAAUGUCCUCUCGACAAUUUGUGUUGCACCUUUCUUCUCAGGCAUCAUGAGUCUGAGUUAUCCUGACACCAAUCACAUCUGAAUCUCGGUCAGAUAUGAUGGUUGGAACAUAUAUCCAAAAGUUAUAGCAUUGGUCUUUAUAUGACCUCGUAAGAUGAUGUCAUGCCUAGCACACCUGGCCGGAGGACCUAUUGUUAUAGUUUCCUUUUUAGCAAGCUUAGCGAUUCUUCCAUGAGGAAAUCGUAAGACUUAUUCGAUAAGCUGUUCCUGAUGGAUCCUUUGUGUAUCCAAAGUACGACCUUGCUUGAAGACCAUGUCAAUGCAAUCUCGAAGCAUGUAUGUGGUACUUUUAUCAUCAAUAAGAACAUUUGAAGCACAAUGCUAAAUUUGCUUUAUCAAUUAUUCACACUCUGUUGUUUGGGUAAUGUCAUGAAAUUCCUCUCCCCUUACCUAAAUGGUUACAUACUUGGAGCCCUAUCCUUAAUAUCUUGCUCUGCCUUUCCUUGGGAAAGAUAUACUCUAAUACUUGAGUAUAACCACCUUUUCCUUUCCAUUGGUCUAAUUAAUGUAAUAAUCACAUUUUCCUUUCCAUUGUUUUGGUUAACCUUUCUUGUGACCUAUAUGAUAUAAACAGUAAUAUUUCCCUGCUUAUGUAAACGCCUCGGUGUACCAUCCUGUUUGGUGUAACCCUAUUACUAUUGUUGAUGACAUUCCGGUAGCCAUCGAUGGACAAGAACUUUGCCUAUUGGUCCGCCUCGUUCAACGAGCAGGAAAUGGUUCUCUUCGUCCCUCGCCCUUGGUGCCGAUGUUGUUGCCGCCAUAACUGACAGGCUAUUCUCUGACUUGCCUUGCUUACAUGAUCGUGCAACAUGUCAGCGCCCUUUCUACCUUCAACCCACAUGGUGGGCCCAUAACCCACAACUCCACAGGAUCGAAACCCGACUCUCCUGUACACCCCCGGUUUCCAAAGUUAUUCCUCGCGCGUGGCCUCAUAUGUAAUUCACGGGCCACCUUCCUAGUGAUCUAUUCUGGUAACAGACGCAAUACUCAAUCUCGUUGCUCUGGGCACCUUUAGCACGUUGCUUCAGACAUCGAACGAUUGCCUAUCCAUUUGAAACUUCUCAUGGUACCUUCUUACUUUGCUCUUGAUAUCUUCUUAAGUUUCAAUUCGAGAGAUAUUUAUGCUUCUUCCCAUGAGUUAACCGUCCGAUGCUCAAUCUUGUUAGAACCCGUCCUUAUAGAGUUUUUCCCCUCUUAUCCUUUUGUAAGUUCGGUGAAGUUCCUGAAGGAAGGACGACAACCUCAUCAUGAUGUAUUGAUGCAUAGGAAUGAAAACAUCAACGCUAUGGACCGACCACUUCGAGAAGAGCAACCUAGACCGAGAAGACUCGUUAGAAUUUCGUAACCAAAUCCUUUCCCCAUUACACCCCCUCAUAAAUCUCAGGAUGAGAUUUCUUGUAGUGAAGGAGAAUUGUGAUGCCCGGAUAAUUAAGCUACAGUGAUCCCCGCUAAUGAUGCCACGUCACCUCGGUUACUGUGGAUAAACUCGCGUUAGUUUGAAACCUAGUUCGAAUUUCAAAUUUAAAACAAAGGCAAGCAAUAAAAGUUUUCAAACAUUAAAACUAAAAUGUUCGGAGUGUGCCACUUAAUGCUUAGGUAUUUAUGGUGAAGAAACCAUGCUUUUACAGAAUGCCUAAAUACUUUAAAAUGAAUUAAAACAGAAAAUAAAUAAGAUAAGAAAAAUAAAAAUAAAAAACAAAAAC
rnacentral:lncRNA from 1 species